rnacentral:rRNA from 1 species
GAUGAACGCUGGCGGCGUGCUUAACACAUGCGAGUCGAACGGAAAGGCUCCUGCUUGCAGGGGUACUCGAGUGGCGAACGGGUGAGUAACACGUGGGUGAUCUGCCCUGCACUUCGGGAUAAGCCUGGGAAACUGGGUCUAAUACCGGAUAGGACGAUGGUUUGGAUGCCAUUGUGGAAAGUUUUUCGGUGUGGGAUGAGCUCGCGGCCUAUCAGCUUGUUGGUGGGGUAAUGGCCUACCAAGGCGUCGACGGGUAGCCGGCCUGAGAGGGUGUACGGCCACAUUGGGACUGAGAUACGGCCCAGACUCCUACAGGAGGCAGCAGUGGGGAAUAUUGCACAAUGGGCGCAAGCCUGAUGCAGCGACGCCGCGUGGGGGAUGACGGCCUUCGGGUUGUAAACUCCUUUCGCUAGGGACGAAGCGCAAGUGACGGUACCUGGAGAAGAAGCACCGGCUAACUACGUG